AAAGGGGUCGUCACUCAGAGGCGGCAAAACUGUCACCUGAAGUCUUCUCCACAGACUGAGAAGCUGCUGAGCUGAGCGGAAAGCCAACUGCUGAGUGCGGUUGCAGUGGUUGUGGUGGUUUGAAUGAAAAUAGCCCCUACAGGCUCAUAUAUCUGAACGUUUGCUCGCUUGCUGGAGCUGUUUGGAAAGAAUUAGGAGGUGUGGACUUGUUGGCUCAUCUCACUAGUGAGGCUGGAGAGAUGGCUCAGUGGUGAACACUUGCUGCUCUUUCAGAGGACCAGA